UCCCUCACCCCGACGAAUUGCUGUGCCGCACCACCCUCCCGCGACACGCGACGCCGUGCUCAUCCUCCCGGCGCGCUCGACGCCGCACCCUCCUCCCGGCACCUCACCCUCCUCGCUCCCUCCUACCGGCGCCCCUCCCUCCUCCCGACGGAGCUUCGUCCUCCCACGCAGCUCGACGCUGCUCGUGCUCCUCGCGACCUCCUCCAGCGCCGGUGGCAAAUCCAGGAUUUUAGCGGGGGAGGAGGACCCUGAUGGAAGCAAACUUUAUGCAUCUGCAGGCUAUGGAUAGAUGAUUUAGUAAAUUUUUAGUUACUCAGAAUUCAGAAAGUUAGAUAUUGCAGUAAUUUUUUGAAGAAAUAAACCAUAUCGAUAGAUUGAAUCAUUUGAAAAAAAAUUUAGUCUGAAUACUAAGGAUGUCACUGAAGUAAAUUAAGAAAGCAAUUGAACUAUCCUUAUGAUAAGGAGGUACAUGUGGAGACAUGCUGAUUUGGUACUAAGCACUUUGAUCGCAUAUGUAUUCUGUGCUUUCUCUAAUAGGGAGAUGCAGAGGGACACUCCUUUAAUUUUGUCAAUCUUAUAUUUUAGCAGCACAAGGCUUCAAGUUUUUUAUACCAAUUUUAAAGACUGACACCAUUCUCCACUUCACAAAUUGUUCAAGUUCUAGAGUUCAUUGGGAUGAAAGAAAACAUGUUUUCAUUGUGCUUUUGGUACUGAACUACUGAUAAUCUGAUGUAAUGACACUUUUUCUGUAUCACAAUUUAUUCGUGUGCCUUAUGAAUUUUGUUCGAUUUUUACUCUGAACAUUCCGUGCUAUUUUCUCUGCGCCAGAAAUUCAAUGAAUUACUCGCCAAUUGUAUCCUACCAGAAAGUAUUUUGAAGGUGACUCAAUGCUUCUAAUCACCACAUAUGUAUUUCUGCUUUAUGGCAACAGAACAUAACUACAGAUUAAUACCUCUACUAAAUUUGGACUCUUCAUGCCUUAUCAACGCACCGACCUUAUGGCUUUAAUUCUUGUUUGCAUUACCGAUGAAGAAUAUAUCAGACUUGAUAAAUAAAGGUGCUUGCAAUCUUUCAACUGAAGCCAAAAUCUUUCAAAUUAGUAAUCAGGGAGUAGGCUAGAUUUUUAUUUUAUAUAUAUAACCUUAAGUGUAGCUACAUCUGUAUGCAAAUGGAAGUUCACUGCAUGAAGGAGUUGACUUGAUCAUAUGUGGUUCUUAGCAUGACACAGUUCGGUUAUUCAUAUAUAGCUCUUCAGUCAGUUUACAUCAUUCUUGGAUUUGAUUCAGUUUACCUUGAAGAGGGUAAGCAUCAAUAGUUUGUUUGUCUUAAUGCGUCCUUGUCUGUUGACAGUUCAACUAGUUUAUGAUGAUUUGGCAGUGCAGCAUCUUCAGGUGUGUCCAGCUGAAAGGGGUCAGGUAUUUGAAGGGUAAUAGCUAGACCUCUUUCCCAGUAACGCGUACUAAUUUUUAUUUGAAUACCACUGUUCUUUGAAUGCUGAUGCUGCCCUGUCCUCUGUCUGCCACAUAACCUUAGGUGAAUAUCCGGAUGCCAUGUCGAAGCUUACAGAGACGGACCUCAAGUUUCUUUUUCCACAUCUAACUGCUGACAGAUAUGUACAGACAUGAGCAGAGAUGGGAGUUCUUCUAUUAGGACAUGAUAGGAGUAUGCUUUGCUUCUUUGCGGCAUACUAUGUGGUGUGUCAGUGAUAUACAUGAUGGACUUCUUGUUUCACGAAUUGUGAGGCCUGCCGUCGGCGGCUGAGCUCGCCAGUAGCUGUUGUCAACCUAUACUAAGAUUUCAAAUUAAAAAAUCAUGGUGUUGAUGCAAUAAUGAUAGCUCCUGCAUCCAAAUUGCAUCACUAACCUGAUCAAGCAAAUCUCUUGACCCAUUAAUGACUGCCGCCAGGGACAGCCUCGUGAGAUACAGGGACGGCCUCUCCAGCGGAUGCUCUGCGAGCGGCGAGCCUAUUUCCCAUUCUAAUAUUCCUCUUGUGUGCAGAUCAAAGAUUCUUGUAGAGAUGGAUUGGCUGGGAUUAUCAUUCACUGAAGGCAAAUCUCUCAAUUAUUGGUUGGGAUUUAUUUUCCAAUAUCUGCUGUUUUACUCCCUUAUGUGGUCGCAUGGUUUCACUGCUGGGUUGACUGGAUCGACCCUGGUGCCGAUGCCAAUUACCAAUUAAUGAGUUGUGGCAAUGUGCAUACUUGCAACAACGUGCCAUGAGGCCCCCAAUCUUUGCUGGCUUUAACCUGAAAUGGUCUUGGCAGGGACAGGGAGGUCUAUUUGUAUCUCUCUUUUAUUCUAACUAGUACUGAGGCUAGCGUCAAACUAUUGUAUUCAAAUUGGAAAUAUACUUACGAAUGAGAUGAACCAUUUGCGACUAAGUUAUUGUAUUUGCAUUUCCAAUUUCUA